rnacentral:rRNA from 1 species
UAAUACUCCAUAGAUUAGAGACACUGGAAUGUUCUUUAGUCGAAAGUUCUGGCGCCUUAGGAUGGAUCUGCGGUCGAUUAGGUUGUUGUUGGGGUAACGGCCCAACAAGCCUGUAAUCGAUACGGGUUGUGGGAGCAAGAGCCCGGAGAUGGAAUCUGAGACACGAUUCCAGGCCCUACGGGGCGCAGCAGGCGCGAAAACUUUACAAUGCAGGAAACUGUGAUAAGGGAACUCCGAGUGCCCGUAUACGCGGGCUGUCCAGGUGUUUAAAAAUCAUCUGAAGAAAGGGCCGGGCAAGACCGGUGCCAGCCGCCGCGGUAAUACCGGCGGCUCGAGUGGUGGCCACUAUUAUUGGGCUUAAAGCGUCCGUAGCUGGACCGAUAAGUCUCUUGGGAAAUCCGCCGGCUCAACCGGCGGGCGUCUAAGGGAUACUGUUAGUCUAGGGACCGGGAGAGGUGAGAGGUACUCCGGGGGUAGGAGUGAAAUCCUGUAAUCCCCGGGGGACCACCGAUGGCGAAGGCAUCUCACCAGAACGGCUCCGACGGUGAGGGACGAAAGCUGGGGGAGCGAACCGGAUUAGAUACCCGGGUAGUCCCAGCCGUAAACUAUGCGCGUUAGGUGUAC